UACGGAGGGUGCAAGCGUUAUCCGGAUUCACUGGGUUUAAAGGGUGCGUAGGUGGGCAGUUAAGUCAGGGGUGAAAUCUCCGGGCUCAACCCGGAAACUGCCAUUGAUACUAUCUGUCUUGAAUAUCGUAGAGGUAAGCGGAAUAUGUCAUGUAGCGGUGAAAUGCUUAGAUAUGACAUAGAACACCAAUUGCGAAGGCAGCUUACUACCCGAAUAUUGACACUGAGGCACGAAAGCGUGGGGAUCAAACAGG
rnacentral:rRNA from 1 species